rnacentral:misc_RNA from 1 species
GAUGAAGAACGUAGCGAAAUGCGAUACGUAAUGUGAAUUGCAAAUUCAGUGAAUCAUCGAGUCUUUGAACGCACAUUGUGCCCCCUGGUAUUCCGGGGGGCAUGCCUGUCCGAGCGUCAUUGCUGCCCUCAAGCACGGCUUGUGUGUUGGGCCCCGUCCUCCGAUCCCGGGGGACGGGCCCGAAAGGCAGCGGCGGCACCGCGUCCGGUCCUCGAGCGUAUGGGGCUUUGUCACCCGCUCUGUAGGCCCGGCCGGCGCUUGCCGAUCAACCCAAAUUUUUAUCCAGGUUGACCUCGGAUCAGGUAGGGAUACCCGCUGAACUUAAGCAUAUCAAUAAGCGGAGGA